rnacentral:tRNA from 1 species
GGAGUGCAGGCCGAAGGUCGCGUCGCUGGGCUCAUAACCCAGAGGUCGCAGGUUCAAAUCCUGCCCCCGCUACAA